rnacentral:rRNA from 1 species
AACGAACGCUGGCGGCAGGCUUAACACAUGCAAGUCGAGCGCGUAGCAAUACGAGCGGCAGACGGGUGAGUAAUGCGUGGGAAUCUACCCAUCCCUACGGAACAACUCCGGGAAACUGGAGCUAAUACCGUAUACGUCCUUAUGGAGAAAGAUUUAUCGGGGAUGGAUGAGCCCGCGUUGGAUUAGCUAGUUGGUGGGGUAAUGGCCUACCAAGGCGACGAUCCAUAGCUGGUCUGAGAGAAUGAUCAGCCACACUGGGACUGAGACACGGCCCAGACUCCUACGGGAGGCAGCAGUGGGGAAUAUUGGACAAUGGGCGCAAGCCUGAUCCAGCCAUGCCGCGUGAGUGAUGAAGGCCCUAGGGUUGUAAAGCUCUUUCACCGGUGAAGAUAAUGACGGUAACCGGAGAAGAAGCCCCGGCUAACUUCGUGCCAGCCGCCGCCGUAAUAC